AGGACAUCUAUGUGAAAGGCGCAGAGGGUGAGUGGCAGAAACAUGACGUGAACGCGAGCGGAGCAGAGGAAAAGUUUAGCAAUGGAUCCCAAAGGAGGAUGGGGCCCGAAAUGGAGCCCACAAGUAAGUCGGGCCGCAGUUGAAGAAUAUUUGCCUAGGUGAACUGAGAAACUCCUAUUUGUCAGGUAUGACUGGAACCAUUUGAGGGCAGUACCUUUGAUGCCUACGCACUGUUUGAGACGUGAUAAAAGGAUCCUAUGAUCCACAGUGUCAAAGGCAGCAGUCAGGUCUAAAAGCACCAGAAUAGCAGAGUUCCCUGAAUCAACAGUUAAGAGAAGAUCAUUAAAAACUCUUGAAAGAGCUGUUUCAGUACUAUGGCGUGGUUUAAAACAAGACUGAAACUUUGAUAUGAUACUCUCCCCAAAACGUUAGACAGAAAAGGCAGCUUAGAAAUUGGCCUGAAGUUAGGGAGAACAGAAGGGUCCAGAUUUUUCUUUUUGAUAAGAGGCUGCACUACAGAAUGUUUAAAAGCAGCUGAAACACACCCUGAAAUAAAAGAGAUGUUUAUCAGAACAAGAAUACUUGACCUAACAGUAUUAAAAACUUCUUUUAGUAGUAGUAGACGAGAGGGAAUACUGUCUAGGGGGCAAUUUGUAGGCUGCAGAUGCUGAACUACCUCUGAUAAUAAGGCUCAAACUGAUCAAAGACAGCUGGGCACAUAGGAGGAACAGAAGGGUCUAGGGAAAAGGAAGUGGGUGAAGACCUAAAAGAAGAAAUCUUGAUGAUAAAAAAUUUAAGAAAGUUUUCACAGAGUGUAGGCAUUGGCACAAUAUGAGCUGUAUCACAAGGAUUUAUGAGAGAGUUGAAAGCACUGAAGAGAACCUGAGGCCUAUGACCGUUACUGCAGACAAGGUUAGAUAUAAACUCGGAUUUAGCAGUUAACAGCUCUCUGGUAUUUUGAUAAGCAGUCCUAAGGUGACUUGGAGCUUAUCCUUGUUCCAGCUCGUCUAUACGUGCGUCUGAGAGCGGAGGUAUUAUCAUUCAGCCAUGGCUCUGAGAGUGGUUUAGUGCGUUUAGUCCUAAAAGGAGCAACAGAGUCCAAGACCUCAGGGCAAGUGGAGUCAAAAGACGCUAGCCCUCCACCUGGUGGUCCGAGGGGAGCUAAAAAAAUGCACAUCCAGGAGGAAGAAGUUCAGAAAAAGGGGUGAACUCACCACCAUGAAACCAGGUUUCCGUCAGAGGUGGAGAGGUCAUUAAGCAAGAAGGUCUUGUUUGCUAGGGAUCUAGCAUUAAUCAGAGACAUACGAAGAGUAAGCUCCUCGCUGGCCAAUGUUGAAGCCACCACAGCGGGCAAAGGUUCUCGUGGUCCAUCGGCAGGUCAGGAACAGCAGGCGGACUAGAAACAAGAGGCCGGCUCUACCGACUUCUAAAUUCCAGUGAGCGCCGGACAACAGGGAAGUAGUAACAUCCAUCGCAAUAGAAGUGAGGAUCAGUCACACAAGAGGA